rnacentral:SRP_RNA from 1 species
GCCAUGGUGGAAGGCACCUGUAGUCUCAUCUACUUGAGAGACUGAGGUUGGAGGAUCACUUGGGCCUAGUUCUGGGCUGUAAUGCCUUAUGUAUGCCCAUCAGUGUCGAUACUGGAGCUGGGGCCUACCAGGUGGCCUAAGGAGAAAUGAAGCCACCCAGAUUGGAAACAGCAGGUAAAAAGUCUCAUGCUGAUUAGAAGUGGGAUCAUGUCUGUGAAUAACCACUGCACUCCAGCCUAAGCAACAUAGGGAGACCCAUCUCU